rnacentral:rRNA from 1 species
UUGAACGCUGGCGGCAUGCUUUACACAUGCAAGUCGAACGGUAGACCCUUUCGGGGGUUGAGAGUGGCGAACGGGUGAGUAAUGCAUCGGAACGUACCCAGUCGUGGGGGAUAACUACGCGAAAGCGUAGCUAAUACCGCAUACGCCCUGAGGGGGAAAGCGGGGGACCUUCGGGCCUCGCGCGAUUGGAGCGGCUGAUGUCGGAUUAGCUAGUUGGUGGGGUAAAGGCCUACCAAGGCGACGAUCCGUAGCUGGUCUGAGAGGAUGAUCAGCCACACUGGGACUGAGACACGGCCCAGACUCCUACGGGAGGCAGCAGUGGGGAAUUUUGGACAAUGGGCGCAAGCCUGAUCCAGCCAUGCCGCGUGAGUGAAGAAGGCCUUCGGGUUGUAAAGCUCUUUCAGACGGAAAGAAAUCGGGCGCGUGAAUAGCGUGCCUGGAUGACGGUACUGUCAGAAGAAGCACCGGCUAACUACGU